AUUUUUUUAUUUAAACAGUCUAGCCGCGCGGCUAUACGUUUUAAUUUUAAUUAUUUAAAGAGUAUAGCCACGCGGCUAUACUAUUAAAAAUUAUUUUU
rnacentral:miRNA from 1 species